GUUAGGAUAAAAAUCUUAUAUGUUAUUUUUUACAUGAUGAUUCUUAUACAUGUUUAUGAUGCCUUAACAAGUUACUAAUGAUCAGGUGAUUAAGUAAGGAAGAAAGUUGAUAUGACGGGGGGUUUUUAUGACUAUCGAUGCUCAAAGUUGAAGUUUAUGGACAUAAUUAUGUAGAACAGAUUGCAUUGAGGUAAUAAAUCUCAUGAAUGUGCACUUCCCAUCAAAUAGACUAAAAUAAGAAAACAAAGCUAGAGACUAAUUUCACAACUAAUCUGAAAUGACAAAAACAAAAGUUGGAAGCCAUAAUAUCCUUUGCAAAGUUUGAAAUGUUAUAUGGUGAAGCUGAAUUGAAGGAGCAGGAACUAAAUGAUGCUAACUCAUUAGCUGAAGUCAUAAAACAAGAACUCUAAAGUGAGCUUUGAGUUGUUUCUAGGAACUUGAUUUUAAUAUUUCACUAUAAAAAGAUUUUUUUGACUAGCUGUUCUUCUAGGUGUUUCUGACAGGAUGGAUAGACUCAUUGGCUGAAGUCACAACAGAAGAACUAUGAAUUGUGAAUCUGCUUUAUUGUUUCUUUAUGUGAUAAAUGACUAGUCUGAGCUUCAGUUUUUUGUUCUUGGCUUUUAAUGUAUUGUUAAACUAUUAUGUCUUGUAAUUAAUGUUUUAAAUAUAUUUAUCCUGCUUGAUUUGCUAGUCGAUAUCUUUGCUGAAAUCCUAAAAGAUGAUGUUUUGGUCUUGCCCCCACAUAUACUCGGUACGUACUGAGAUAGGUCAUGCUUCCACUUAAGCUUUCAUCUUUUCAGAAGUGACAUGCUCUCUUUUAUUGGAACAUAUACUCGAUACUUACUGAAUUUAUAUGUAAGUCUCCACGUUUAACUUAUCCAUCCACAUGGUUCUGAUGUGGUCCCUUUAUUAAAGAAGUUGAAGUUUUCUCACAAUUUUUCCCUUGGAUUAGCGAAGGUUAGUUCUCCACCGUGCUUGUUCUAAUUGAAAUAGUAUUGAUCCAGCAAAAACAUUGGUUCGAGUUUUGUUGUUUAUAAUUUGUAUGUUGGUCUACACACAAGUGAAAACUGAGUAAUUACUUGUGUUAUGUUGUUCUAGAAGGUUAUUUCUCUACACACAAGUGAAAACUGAGUAAUUACUUGUGUUAUUUUGUUCUAGAAGGUUAUUUCUCUACGUGUUUUGUUAAUUGAUUGCUGAUGUUUUCAUUAGCUUGGUGUGCAAAUUUGGGUUGAAAGUUUUUGGUGUGAGAAGCUCUGUAGUUAUUGCUUUUGGAAUCCAAGGAUGGAUAGUUCUGAGAAAAAGUUUUAAUUUGAUAAUUGUGGUUGAUUGGUACCAACAAUAAAUGUAAGCUAUAAAGUACCUGCAUGUACGCUUCUGGUGUCCACCCCAACCACAAUGCUACUAGGAAAUUUAUAUGAUUUGCGAAGUAAAACACUUUUUCUUUGAUAUGAUAUUUGUAUGUAACUUAAAUUAUUUGACCGACAUGUUCUUGAGGUAAGAACAUGUUUAUGAUGCCUUAUACAUGAUCCUUGUACAUGUUUAUGAUGCCUUAUACAUGAUGAUCCUUCUACAUGUUUAUGAUGCCUUAACAAGUUACUAAUGAUCAGGUGAUUAAGUAAGGAAGAAAGUUGAUAUGACGGGGGGUUUUUAUGACUAUCGAUGCUCAAAGUUGAAGUUUAUGGACAUAAUUAUGUAGAACAGAUUGCAUUGAGGUAAUAAAUCUCAUGAAUGUGCACUUCCCAUCAAAUAGACUAAAAUAAGAAAACAAAGCUAGAGACUAAUUUCACAACUAAUCUGAAAUGACAAAAACAAAAGUUGGAAGCCAUAAUAUCCUUUGCAAAGUUUGAAAUGUUAUAUGGUGAAGCUGAAUUGAAGGAGCAGGAACUAAAUGAUGCUAACUCAUUAGCUGAAGUCAUAAAACAAGAACUCUAAAGUGAGCUUUGAGUUGUUUCUAGGAACUUGAUUUUAAUAUUUCACUAUAAAAAGAUUUUUUUGACUAGCUGUUCUUCUAGGUGUUUCUGACAGGAUGGAUAGACUCAUUGGCUGAAGUCACAACAGAAGAACUAUGAAUUGUGAAUCUGCUUUAUUGUUUCUUUAUGUGAUAAAUGACUAGUCUGAGCUUCAGUUUUUUGUUCUUGGCUUUUAAUGUAUUGUUAAACUAUUAUGUCUUGUAAUUAAUGUUUUAAAUAUAUUUAUCCUGCUUGAUUUGCUAGUCGAUAUCUUUGCUGAAAUCCUAAAAGAUGAUGUUUUGGUCUUGCCCCCACAUAUACUCGGUACGUACUGAGAUAGGUCAUGCUUCCACUUAAGCUUUCAUCUUUUCAGAAGUGACAUGCUCUCUUUUAUUGGAACAUAUACUCGAUACUUACUGAAUUUAUAUGUAAGUCUCCACGUUUAACUUAUCCAUCCACAUGGUUCUGAUGUGGUCCCUUUAUUAAAGAAGUUGAAGUUUUCUCACAAUUUUUCCCUUGGAUUAGCGAAGGUUAGUUCUCCACCGUGCUUGUUCUAAUUGAAAUAGUAUUGAUCCAGCAAAAACAUUGGUUCGAGUUUUGUUGUUUAUAAUUUGUAUGUUGGUCUACACACAAGUGAAAACUGAGUAAUUACUUGUGUUAUGUUGUUCUAGAAGGUUAUUUCUCUACACACAAGUGAAAACUGAGUAAUUACUUGUGUUAUUUUGUUCUAGAAGGUUAUUUCUCUACGUGUUUUGUUAAUUGAUUGCUGAUGUUUUCAUUAGCUUGGUGUGCAAAUUUGGGUUGAAAGUUUUUGGUGUGAGAAGCUCUGUAGUUAUUGCUUUUGGAAUCCAAGGAUGGAUAGUUCUGAGAAAAAGUUUUAAUUUGAUAAUUGUGGUUGAUUGGUACCAACAAUAAAUGUAAGCUAUAAAGUACCUGCAUGUACGCUUCUGGUGUCCACCCCAACCACAAUGCUACUAGGAAAUUUAUAUGAUUUGCGAAGUAAAACACUUUUUCUUUGAUAUGAUAUUUGUAUGUAACUUAAAUUAUUUGACCGACAUGUUCUUGAGGUAAGAACAUGUUUAUGAUGCCUUAUACAUGAUCCUUGUACAUGUUUAUGAUGCCUUAUACAUGAUGAUCCUUCUACAUGUUUAUGAUGCCUUAACAAGUUACUAAUGAUCAGGUGAUUAAGUAAGGAAGAAAGUUGAUAUGACGGGGGGUUUUUAUGACUAUCGAUGCUCAAAGUUGAAGUUUAUGGACAUAAUUAUGUAGAACAGAUUGCAUUGAGGUAAUAAAUCUCAUGAAUGUGCACUUCCCAUCAAAUAGACUAAAAUAAGAAAACAAAGCUAGAGACUAAUUUCACAACUAAUCUGAAAUGACAAAAACAAAAGUUGGAAGCCAUAAUAUCCUUUGCAAAGUUUGAAAUGUUAUAUGGUGAAGCUGAAUUGAAGGAGCAGGAACUAAAUGAUGCUAACUCAUUAGCUGAAGUCAUAAAACAAGAACUCUAAAGUGAGCUUUGAGUUGUUUCUAGGAACUUGAUUUUAAUAUUUCACUAUAAAAAGAUUUUUUUGACUAGCUGUUCUUCUAGGUGUUUCUGACAGGAUGGAUAGACUCAUUGGCUGAAGUCACAACAGAAGAACUAUGAAUUGUGAAUCUGCUUUAUUGUUUCUUUAUGUGAUAAAUGACUAGUCUGAGCUUCAGUUUUUUGUUCUUGGCUUUUAAUGUAUUGUUAAACUAUUAUGUCUUGUAAUUAAUGUUUUAAAUAUAUUUAUCCUGCUUGAUUUGCUAGUCGAUAUCUUUGCUGAAAUCCUAAAAGAUGAUGUUUUGGUCUUGCCCCCACAUAUACUCGGUACGUACUGAGAUAGGUCAUGCUUCCACUUAAGCUUUCAUCUUUUCAGAAGUGACAUGCUCUCUUUUAUUGGAACAUAUACUCGAUACUUACUGAAUUUAUAUGUAAGUCUCCACGUUUAACUUAUCCAUCCACAUGGUUCUGAUGUGGUCCCUUUAUUAAAGAAGUUGAAGUUUUCUCACAAUUUUUCCCUUGGAUUAGCGAAGGUUAGUUCUCCACCGUGCUUGUUCUAAUUGAAAUAGUAUUGAUCCAGCAAAAACAUUGGUUCGAGUUUUGUUGUUUAUAAUUUGUAUGUUGGUCUACACACAAGUGAAAACUGAGUAAUUACUUGUGUUAUGUUGUUCUAGAAGGUUAUUUCUCUACACACAAGUGAAAACUGAGUAAUUACUUGUGUUAUUUUGUUCUAGAAGGUUAUUUCUCUACGUGUUUUGUUAAUUGAUUGCUGAUGUUUUCAUUAGCUUGGUGUGCAAAUUUGGGUUGAAAGUUUUUGGUGUGAGAAGCUCUGUAGUUAUUGCUUUUGGAAUCCAAGGAUGGAUAGUUCUGAGAAAAAGUUUUAAUUUGAUAAUUGUGGUUGAUUGGUACCAACAAUAAAUGUAAGCUAUAAAGUACCUGCAUGUACGCUUCUGGUGUCCACCCCAACCACAAUGCUACUAGGAAAUUUAUAUGAUUUGCGAAGUAAAACACUUUUUCUUUGAUAUGAUAUUUGUAUGUAACUUAAAUUAUUUGACCGACAUGUUCUUGAGGUAAGAACAUGUUUAUGAUGCCUUAUACAUGAUCCUUGUACAUGUUUAUGAUGCCUUAUACAUGAUGAUCCUUCUACAUGUUUAUGAUGCCUUAACAAGUUACUAAUGAUCAGGUGAUUAAGUAAGGAAGAAAGUUGAUAUGACGGGGGGUUUUUAUGACUAUCGAUGCUCAAAGUUGAAGUUUAUGGACAUAAUUAUGUAGAACAGAUUGCAUUGAGUCGAUAUCUUUGCUGAAAUCCUAAAAGAUGAUGUUUUGGUCUUGCCCCCACAUAUACUCGGUACGUACUGAGAUAGGUCAUGCUUCCACUUAAGCUUUCAUCUUUUCAGAAGUGACAUGCUCUCUUUUAUUGGAACAUAUACUCGAUACUUACUGAAUUUAUAUGUAAGUCUCCACGUUUAACUUAUCCAUCCACAUGGUUCUGAUGUGGUCCCUUUAUUAAAGAAGUUGAAGUUUUCUCACAAUUUUUCCCUUGGAUUAGCGAAGGUUAGUUCUCCACCGUGCUUGUUCUAAUUGAAAUAGUAUUGAUCCAGCAAAAACAUUGGUUCGAGUUUUGUUGUUUAUAAUUUGUAUGUUGGUCUACACACAAGUGAAAACUGAGUAAUUACUUGUGUUAUGUUGUUCUAGAAGGUUAUUUCUCUACACACAAGUGAAAACUGAGUAAUUACUUGUGUUAUUUUGUUCUAGAAGGUUAUUUCUCUACGUGUUUUGUUAAUUGAUUGCUGAUGUUUUCAUUAGCUUGGUGUGCAAAUUUGGGUUGAAAGUUUUUGGUGUGAGAAGCUCUGUAGUUAUUGCUUUUGGAAUCCAAGGAUGGAUAGUUCUGAGAAAAA